UGAGCUUCUUAUUAUUAACUUUCAACAGCACCAAACAUUAUAGUCUUGUCAAAAAGAAAUUACCAGUGGGAAACCCCUCAUGAACAGACCAAGACCCACCACACAAACCACUGGUACCAUAACAAUGGGACUGAAGAACCUUGUCAAAUUGCCCCAUGCAAAACUAAACCCAAGGAUGAUGUUGACAAAGGAAGAAACAAUUAAUGAUCCUUGAAUGGUUCUCAUAGUGUGGGUAAAUCUCUGCAACCACCCAUAUCAAUGUGACCAAAAGAUUUGGAGAAUAAUCAAGAACAUUAACGUAAUGUUGGUAGAAAACCAAAAAAAAGGCAAGCUGAUUUGCUUUGGCUGACCAAAGCUUAUGAAAUUUGCCACCACUUGCAAAUUUUUUUGUUCUAUUUUCAAUUAUAUCUAAGUUUAGCACUUCAUACAUCAUGCUCAUCUGCAAAGUUUUCAUCAGACAAAUCCUUGAUGAUUGACAACACUGGUAAGGUGAAAGCAACUGAUGCGCUCAUCACAGUGGGAAGCCUUGUUCCAAUGAAUGUUUGAAUCAGUGUAUUCAACCCCGCCAUAAAGAGCAAUGUUUGAAUCACACGAGCUUUAUCACCAUGGUCCCCACCCAUUCGUGGCACAAGAUUACUGGCAAUCAAGACUAUAGUUCCAAGCAUGACAAUAUAGUGUUGAAAAGCCAGAAAAGCUGUCUCAAGCCAAGAAGGGUUGGAAUGGAUGCAGUACUGGAGCUGCUGGAGUUGCUCAGCCGGAGUCCAAGCGGGACCCCUUGAAACGGCAAGAGAUGGAGGUGGUGGGGGGGCGGCUUGAAAUGGAGGUGGCUGGUGGCUGUUAGCUGUUUCCACCAUCUUUAUCGUUGCUUACACCUCCCCUGCUUAAUUAGAUAAACUUAAAAGACUCUCCCUCGUCUCUACUUCUCUAUAAACUGAAAACAAAAGAAAGCAAAACCAGAAAAAGAAAAUAAAGAUUGAGAAAGAAAAGAAAAGAAAAAGAAAGAAAGAAAGUCCUAUGGAGACUUUGCAAGAAAGCAAAACGAUUAAAUAACCAGAAAGAACGAAAGGGAAUUAGAUUAAUAAUAUUGAAAAAAAAAAACAAGAAAGAGGGGAAGGUAUGAUCAUUAAAAAUUUUUUUUGAAGAAACUGAACUAAGGGUGGAAAGUGAGUUUAGGAUUGCGUUAAGGUUGUCGUAUACUGCAUAUCAAAAAAAAAAUGUUGUCUUGUACCGAGGAGCAUAAACAUGAAC
rnacentral:misc_RNA from 1 species